AUUGAACGCUGGCGGCAGGCCUAACACAUGCAAGUCGAGCGGGCGGAGGAGGGGUGAGUAAUGUAUGGGGAUGUGCCUAAUGGAGGGGGAUCACUACUGGAAACGGUAGCAAAUACCGCAAACCAGCAGAUGGAGCCAUAUGGGAUUAUCUAGUCGGUAAGGUAACGGCUUACCUAGGAGACGAUCCCUAGCUGGUCUGAGAGGAUGAUCAGCCACACUGGGACUGAGACACGGCCCAGACUCCUACGGGAGGCAGCAGUAGGGAAUAUUGCACAAUGGGCGAAAGCCUGAUGCAGCCAUGCCGCGUGUAUGAAGAAGGCCUUCGGAUUGUAAAGUACUUUCAGUAGGGAGGCGUUACCGACAGAAGAAGCACCGGCUAACUCCGUGCCAGCAGCCGCGGUAAUAC
rnacentral:rRNA from 1 species